rnacentral:misc_RNA from 1 species
UUUAAAUUACUAAAAAUUUCUUCUAUAUAUAACUAAAAAUAAUUUAUCACUAAAACUAUUACUAUAACUCCUUAUCCUUCUAUCUUACUAACAACUCCUCUCCUAAAUUUCUUUACUAAUUCCUACUCAUUUCCCCAACUUAAUAACACUAAAACCCCACAAAACUCAAAAUUUAAAUUCUUCCUUUUUAUAUCAUAAUUAUUUUUAUCUAAUCUCCUGA